CUUGAAUAACGAAUUGAAAGAAAACAACCAUUAUCUGUAAGCAUUUCUAAUAUGCAUCAUUUUUAUACAACUUUAUAACACAGUAUAUUUAAGAGUCACUAAAGAAAGAAUGUAAGUUGGAUUUACAACAGAGAAUCUAUUUAUAAAAACAGAUUUGCAUUUGUUCUCUGCAGGAACUAAGUCAGACACAAUACCGAAUGAAAAAAGCAACAAGCGAUGAGGUAUUUACUUUAUGCAUUGAUGUUCUUUUGCUGUUAUUUAUGUUUUACUAGAAAGAAGGACCCAGAGAAAUAAAAGAUGAUUUGUGACAAAGAUGUUUAGGUUGAGCCUCCAUAUGAGAAAUGAUUUUAGAAGAACAGAAAACAAAACAGGACAUUGUGAUGGCUGCUUAUCUCUGGUUCCUCUCUGCAUCUCAACUGUAACCUCUAAAGAAAUGCCACAAAAUAAAAACUUAGAAAACAAAAUGAGGCAUGAAAUAUUAGGUCAUCAGUAUAAUUACUUAAUAUGUGGGUUUAUAUAAACAAAUACUGAUGAUUUAUAAAUUCAUACUGAAAACUCCCUUUUUGUACUUGGAUACUUUUAUUAUACUUACUAUUGCCGUCAUAUACUUUUCAUUAUUGUCCAGUUAGUCUGAUACCAUUUAUAUUAAACAAAUAAAACCCUUUUUCUAUCUGUAUUAGGCGAAAGGAAACUUGAUAGAAACUCCUGUAGUUCCACCCAGACCCACAGAAAAGGAAAUGAACACCACAACCAGAUACAGCCAACGCAGGAGGAUACAGGCUGAGGACACACAGAGCCAAUCAGAAGUUCCCAAAAAUGAAACGGACUUCAAACAGAGCGAUCAGUCGGCCCUGACCGGAUUGUUUCGUCGGAGCCAAAAAGAGAAAACGCAUUCGUUCACUGUAAGAAAUGCACACGCAGCUCUUCUCUGCACAUUACUUAGCAGGUGUUCAAGUAUACGUUUACUUUAAUGCCUAUGAUAUUGAAUAGGUUUUUUGC
rnacentral:lncRNA from 1 species